GAUGAAGAACGUAGCGAAGUGCGAUAACUAAUGUGAAUUGCAGAAUUCAGUGAAUCAUCGAGUCUUUGAACGCACAUUGCGCCCCCUGGUAUUCCGGGGGGCAUGCCUGUCCGAGCGUCAUUGCUGCCCUCAAGCACGGCUUGUGUGUUGGGCUCCGUCCCCCCGGGGACGGGCCCGAAAGGCAGCGGCGGCACCGAGUCCGGUCCUCGAGCGUAUGGGGCUUUGUCACCCGCUCUGUAGGCCCGGCCGGCGCCAGCCGACAACCCAUCAUCCUUUUCAGGUUGACCUCGGAUCAGGUAGGGAUACCCGCUGAACUUAAGCAUAUCAAUAAGCGGAGGA
rnacentral:misc_RNA from 1 species